rfam:Clostridium clostridioforme CAG:132 genomic scaffold, scf114
AAAUAUUGGUGCUAUUCACUAUGUAUAUCCUGAGAAUUGGCUCAGAGUUUCUACCAACUACCGUAAAGAGUUGACUACAUGGCUUUUUGUAGUUGGC